rnacentral:rRNA from 1 species
UAGGGAAUCUUCCACAAUGGGCGCAAGCCUGAUGGAGCAACACCGCGUGAGUGAAGAAGGGUUUCGGCUCGUAAAGCUCUGUUGUUAAAGAAGAACACGUAUGAGAGUAACUGUUCAUACGUUGACGGUAUUUAACCAGAAAGUCACGGCUAACUACGUGCCAGCAGCCGCGGUAAUACGUAGGUGGCAAGCGUUAUCCGGAUUUAUUGGGCGUAAAGAGAGUGCAGGCGGUUUUCUAAGUCUGAUGUGAAAGCCUUCGGCUUAACCGGAGAAGUGCAUCGGAAACUGGAUAACUUGAGUGCAGAAGAGGGUAGUGGAACUCCAUGUGUAGCGGUGGAAUGCGUAGAUAUAUGGAAGAACACCAGUGGCGAAGGCGGCUACCUGGUCUGCAACUGACGCUGAGACUCGAAAGCAUGGGUAGCGAACAGGAUUAGAUACCCUGGUAGUCCAUGCCGUAAACGAUGAGUGCUAGGUGUUGGAGGGUUUCCACCCUUCAGUGCCGGAGCUAACGCAUUAAGCACUCCGCCUGGGGAGUACGACCGCAAGGUUG